UGGUGGAGUGAUUUGUCUGUUUAAUUGCGAUAACGAACGAGACCUUAACCUGCUAAAUAGCCAGGCUAGCUUUGGCUGGUCGCCGGCUUCUUAGAGGGACUAUCGGCUCAAGCCGAUGGAAGUUUGAGGCAAUAACA
rnacentral:rRNA from 1 species